ensembl:lncRNA LINC02262 long intergenic non-protein coding RNA 2262
AGGAGUCGGAUGAGAGGGCUCACACAUGCGCACUAAGAGGCAAAAUGGCAGUCUUUAACUGUUGACAUGACCUCCUUGGAACAUUCAGACUGGUAAGGGAAAAGCACCUCAGAGAACUACCUGUAAUUUGAGCGAAAAAAAUCUUCUUUUGGAAACUCCUUAAGAUAUAGUCUGCCUUACUGCACGCUAUUGAGUUCUGGAGGCUGGAGAGUCCAAGGUCAGGAGGCUACAUCUGCUUGGCAUCUGUUGGUUGGAAUGUGGGUAUGGUUGCUGGAGGUGAAAUAGAAAUUCUGAACCAGGAGCACAUUUUGGAAAUGAGGUCACCACUGCACAACAACAGAGUAAAAGAAGUCUGUGUCCUGAAACCGAGAAACACCAUUCCAGUCCUGUAGCUCCUGCCUUAUUUUAACAAGAGACAGAAAGAAAUUCCUAUUUUACCUAAGGCCCUGUUAGUUUGAGCUUUCUCUAACUUUUGGCUGAUACUUAGCAAUCAGCAAGAAACUUUAUGAUUUUGUUUUUGCUCCUAGGUCUACCUGAAUGAAGGAAAAAGGUAUUUUAAUAUUGCAGAUUGAAGUAAUUUAGUUUACAUGACUAUUAUGUUUGGUAGUGUAACAACACAUUAAUAAGAACACAUAAAGUAUUAAAGUCAACACUUACAAUGUUACCUGCCAAAAUUAGCAGGAAGAUGAGUUCCAAAUUAGUCUCAUGAGAUAUAUUGGCUGAAUAACUUACACAUGGAUUCACUCUAUGUGUCCUGAAUCCGUCAAGUUUUCAAGACUGCUAGGCUCAGAGCUAGUCUAGAGUAGAAAAUUCAAUGAAGAAUUUCACUCAGUGAAGCCUCUUGGGUGACAGUCAGCAAACAUUUUCAUGAAUAUAUUCUUAAGCUAUGUGGCUUCUCAAUUUGAAACACUAUCAAUCCCUGGACAAUUAAACGUUGCCUGAAACAUAAGAAUGAAAGCAAGAAUAGCAAUUAACUUUGAAUCCUGAAGAACUGAUAUUAUUCAAGUAAAGGAAGGAAACAGCCAUACCUCUAGAAACUUAGGAGAGAAUGUCUCAAGAUACCAUGGCCAAUAUGAUAGAAUCCUGGUAUAGUUACUAUGCACUAUACUAUUUGCCUAAUAGAGUGACAUUACAAUUGCUGAAAUGCAGUCUUCUUCACAGACUGUCCCGCGUAUUAAUUUCAACUAGAAAAGAGAUAAAGCGAAUUAAUUUUAAAAAUAUUUCUACUAACCUCUAGAUUCAGAAUAUACAUUCACAGCAGGCUGAUUUAUGCUGUGAUAAGAAGCAAUCUCCAAGUUUCCGUGGCUCAACGCAAUAAAUGUAUACCUAACUCUAA